UGUCCGGAUGGCGUAGUGGUCAGCGCAUCUGCUUAGUAAACAGGAGACCCGGGUUUGAAUCCCGGUCCGGCAA